GUCGAGCGAGACCUUCGGGUCUAGCGGCGGACGGGUUAGUAACCCGUGGGAACGUGCCCUUUACUACGGAAUAGUCCCGGGAAACUGGGUUUAAUACCGUAUACGCCCUUCGGGGGAAAGAUUUAUCGGUAAAGGAUCGGCCCGCGUUAGAUUAGAUAGUUGGUGGGGUAAUGGCCUACCAAGUCUACGAUCUAUAGCUGGUUUGAGAGGAUGAUCAGCAACACUGGGACUGAGACACGGCCCAGACUCCUACGGGAGGCAGCAGUGGGGAGUCUUAGACAAUGGGCGCAAGCCUGAUCUACCCAUGCCGCGUGAGUGACGAAGGCCUUAGGUCGUAAAGCUCUUUCGCCAGGGAUGAUAAUGACAGUACCUGGUUAAGAAACCCCGGCUAACUCCGUGCCAGCAGCCGCGGUAAUACGGAGGGGGUUAGCGUUGUUCGGAAUUACUGGGCGUAAAGCGCACGUAGGCGGACUGGAAAGUUGGGGGUGAAAUCCCGGGGCUUAACCUCGGAACUGCCUCCAAACUACUAGU
rnacentral:rRNA from 1 species